AACAGGAUUAGAUACCCUGGUAGUCCACGCUGUAAACGAUGUCGACUUGGAGGUUGUGCCCUUGAGGCGUGGCUUCCGGAGCUAACGCGUUAAGUCGACCGCCUGGGGAGUACGGCCGCGAGGUUAAAGCUCAAAUGCAUUGACGGGGGCCCGCACAAGCGGUGGAGCAUGUGGUUUAAUUCGAUGCAACGCGAAGAACCUUACCUACUCUUGACAUCCAGAGAAUUUGCUAGAGAUAGCUUAGUGCCUUCGGGAACUCUGAGACAGGUGCUGCAUGGCUGUCGUCAGCUCGUGUUGUGAAAUGUUGGGUUAAGUCCCGCAACGAGCGCAACCCUUAUCCUUUGUUGCCAGCACGUAAUGGUGGGAACUCAAAGGAGACUGCCGGUGAUAAACCGGAGGAAGGUGGGGAUGACGUCAAGUCAUCAUGGCCCUUACGAGUAGGGCUACACACGUGCUACAAUGGCAUAUACAAAGAGAAGCGAACUCGCGAGAGCAAGCGGACCUCAUAAAGUAUGUCGUAGUCCGGAUUGGAGUCUGCAACUCGACUCCAUGAAGUCGGAAUCGCUAGUAAUCGUAGAUCAGAAUGCUACGGUGAAUACGUUCCCGGGCCUUGUACACACCGCCCGUUACACCAUGGGAGUGGGUUGCAAAAGAAGUAGGUAGCUUAACCUUCGGGAGGGCGCUUACCACUUUGUGAUUCAUGACUGGGGUGAAGUCGUAACAAGGUAACC
rnacentral:rRNA from 1 species